rnacentral:rRNA from 1 species
GACGAACGCUGGCGGCGUGCUUAACACAUGCAAGUCGAACGGUGAGGAGGAGCUUGCUCCUCCGAUCAGUGGCGAACGGGUGAGUAACACGUGAGUAACCUGCCCAGACCCUGGGAUAACAGUUGGAAACAGCUGCUAAUACCGGAUACGAGACGGAGAGGCAUCUCUACCGUCUGGAAAGAUUUAUCGGUCUGGGAUGGACUCGCGGCCUAUCAGCUUGUUGGUGAGGUAAAGGCUCACCAAGGCGACGACGGGUAGCCGGCCUGAGAGGGCGACCGGCCACACUGGGACUGAGACACGGCCCAGACUCCUACGGGAGGCAGCAGU